UGGGGAAUAUUGCACAAUGGGCGCAAGCCUGAUGCAGCCAUGCCGCGUGUGUGAAGAAGGCCUUCGGGUUGUAAAGCACUUUCAGCGGGGAGGAAGGCGAUAAGGUUAAUAACCUUGUCGAUUGACGUUACCCGCAGAAGAAGCACCGGCUAACUCCGUGCCAGCAGCCGCGGUAAUACGGAGGGUGCAAGCGUUAAUCGGAAUUACUGGGCGUAAAGCGCACGCAGGCGGUCUGUCAAGUCGGAUGUGAAAUCCCCGGGCUCAACCUGGUAACUGCAUUCGAAACUGGCAGGCUAGAGUCUUGUAGAGGGGGGUAGAAUUCCGGGUGUAGCGGUGAAAUGGGUGGAGAUCUGGAGGAAUACCGGUGGCGAAGGCGGCCCCCUGGACAAAGACUGACGCUAAGGUGCGAAAGCGUGGGGAGCAAACAGG
rnacentral:rRNA from 1 species